GCCACCAAAAUCCAAGUUCUCUUUUUUUCUAGACAACGGAAAACCAAGAUAUAUGCCGAGCUGCUAGGCUAUGUUGCUUCUUUCUGUUGUCUGAUUCCAGUUGCAGAAAAGCCAUGGGUAGCAGCAGCAAACAUUCUAGGGUAGAAGCAACACUACAGACCUGGAGGACCCAUAGAAGAGCAUGAGCAACUCCUCUGGCGGAACAACCCUAUGAAAGAGGAAACUGAAACACAGUGAGAUGAGAUGAGCAGUAUUCUCAAGAUCAUACAGCUAACAAGUGGCAGAAUAACAAUUCAAG